rnacentral:misc_RNA from 1 species
CAAUGACUCAAGGCGCCUACGCCUUCGUAUGCAGAGACUACAGCACAUACUUUACCCCCUUUUAAAGAAGGACAACGCUCUCUCUGUUUUUACUUGAACGCUCCUCUCAGCCGGAUGGCGACGAAAAAAGGAAAGGGAAAGAAGGCAACGUCUGCCAAGGCAAAGGCUGACGAGCUGCGUCUCAUUCAGCUGCGUACCUUGGAGGCGGAAGCGGAGGAGUUUCAGCGGUCCGAAAAUGAGCGUCGCCAGCACGAUGAGCAAGAGGAGCACAUAGCAUUUCUGCGCGAUGAGCAGCUGCGCAUUAUGCACCAAAAAGACCGUCGUAUUGAGGAGGUCAUGCAGGAGCUCACCCGUGUGACGUCGGCGAUGCAGGACGACAAGAGCAGUUAUGAAAGCCAAAUUCAUCAACUGAGCACGCUGCGCGAUGCGCUUCUGAAUGAGGAAAACCUCCUUAAGGUGGAGAUGGAGGAGCUGCAUGGCAUUCUGCAGCAGGAGCGCGGGAGUCACGCAGCGUAUGCGCAGCAGCUACGCGAAACAUUGGAGACGGAGCGAAGUCUGCAUCAGGAAGAAAGGCAGCACCUCCGGUCCCAGGUGUGCGAGGCAACGGCUGGCAUGGAGGACAGCAAGCGGCAAUUGCAACUUGCCUGCGAGUUGCGGGAAUCAGCGGAGCACGAGUUCAAGGUGAAGGUGCGCGACCUGGAGAGGGAACUUGAAAAGGCGCUUACAAUGAACAAGGCUCUACAGGAUGCCGUGGAGGGGCGUGAGAUCGAAGACCGCAAGAACGUGACGCUGCUGCAGCUGUUGAAUGUGCAGCUGGAGUCAGACAAGCGGCGGUAUGAGGAAGACCUCUGCGAGGAGCGUGAGCGCACGAGCCGUACCCAAGAGGAGGUAAUCAACCUUGAGGCGAAACUAAAGGAAACCCAGCGUGAACUGGACACCUUCAAGGAGGAAGCGCGGACAGCGCGGCAGUCGUGUGUGGACGAACUGCACGAGUGCAAGCUGCUCACGGAGCAGUUGAAGUUCGACGCAAAGUAUCUGCAGAGUGAGAUGGAGUCAAUGCGUGCCGAGCACGUCGCCGAAGUGGAGAAGAGAGAGGCGGCCCAGGCGGCGAUGCAGGCGGAGCUGCAGCAGUGCCGGGUAGAGCUGGAGGCGUCGCAAAGGAAGAACGACGAGUUGGAGUCGCUGCUGGUGCGCAAAGAGCGGGAGCACUUCGACAAGGUCACGUUUCUUAACGCGCAGGUCGCGAAUGGUCGCACCGCUAUUGAGCAACUGCAGGGCAAAAUGGAGAAGGAACGGGUCAAGCACGGGAACGAGCUGCAGCGGCACAAUGAUACGAUUCAGCAGUCCAUGCAAGAGCUGGAGCGAAUCAACAGCGCUGAGAGCGCCCAAGCGAGGGAGCGGCAUAUGUACGAGCAGCAGCUGAUAACCGACCUGGAUAAGUUCAAGGAGACCAUCAGGGAUCUGCGCACGCGCAUGGUGGCGAAGGACGAGGCGUAUGAGCAGCUACGAGAGCUGAAGGAGGGCGAGAUCGAGCGGCUGCGGGGCAUUCUAGACGCGCACUUCAUCCCGCACCGCCAAAAUGUGGAGGUGCCCCGCGAAAGCAGCCGAGUAGACGAGCUCUUUUUGGUGUCAGAGCAACUUCGGGCACUGAAGAAGGAGAUGGCGCUGAAAGAGACGGCUGCGAAGGAGACGGAAAGGUGGCUGCGUGCACGCAUUGCAGAGCAGGUCGAGGUGAUUGACUCCCUCCAGCUUGACCUCAAGCGCACCGAGCUCUCCCGAAACGAGGGCAUUCGUACACUAAAGGACGAAGUCGAGAGGCUGCGCAAGACACUCGAAGUCCACUGCAUACCAUGCUCGUAGCCAGCGGCGGCUCUGCCUGCUGUUUGUCUCUGUGUUGUUUGUGCGGCCUCUCCGGUGGCGCUGCAUAUGCUCGUGUCUUUCUGUAUCCCGUCAUCGUGGUGUGUGGGUGGGUGGGUGCGUGACCUCAUCUGUUCUCAAUGUAAAGUACAUUUAUGUGUUUCGUGUUGGUGCAUUUUGUAUGCGUCAAGUUUGGCCUCGUCCUCCUUGGGCUUCUCCUCCUUUUACUCUUUUUCCUUGUUUGCGGUGAUGGAUGUAGACAAGAGACAAACACAUAUACACACACGCACACCCCAGGGUGUCGACCAGCAAAAGCGGGGAGGGGGCAUGUAGGAGAGAAAAUCCUGAGUGAGGUUGUGCCCUCGUGUUCGUGAUGCCACUGAACUGUCCGCCUCUCACCCACUAUGUAUUCUCGUUUUGUUCUCGUUUUUUUUUGCUCCUUGCCGCGCGAGGCGGUGGGACAACGAUCAUGAUACAUCGGCCCUCUGCUAAGCUCAUUCGCUUUUACACUCUGUUCUUCUGUUGUGUGUGUGCGCGCUGUUGAAAGUGCCACAUCAAAAGCGGAGGGGACGCUGUUUGAAAAAUGUACGUUUCUCAUGUAGAAUGUUGUCACCUUGGUCAGCUUC